rnacentral:sRNA from 1 species
GUCAGUCCAAUGCUUACUGUUUGAGUGAUUUCUAAUCUUUUUGCAUUUGCUUGCUGUUGGGUACUUGUGGUGGCUAGGAAUUGAUAAUUGGACAGUGCUAAAACCUCCCAACACUCUUAAACAAGGCAUACAAUAGCUUGGCUUUAUUGAAUAGCAAAGAAAAAAAAAAACAGCCACAUGCACAUCACGGCCCACAUGAAAAGCUUUUGGAUUUUAAAAUUGGAAAGUGGAGUGUUACGGAGAAUGGAUGGCAGCACGCAUGAAUUGGAGAAAGUGGUCAGAAACAUCAUUUCUUUCUUUUAAAAUUUGGUGCAUGGUGAUUAGGAAGAAAGGCACCGAGAGAGAUUAGGAGGUGCAGCCCAUGUGCAAAAGGCAAUUAACAAUGACAUUCCAGCAAAAGCAAAAGGUACACGGUCCAACAGCUUUUGAAGAAACAGCAUGCCUUUCCACCGGUCCAGCAAGCUAGGAGGUGUACACGGAAAUCCAUCCACGCUCCAGCAUCACCACGGCCCAACAUGUUUCUUCAUUUUCUAGCAGCUCCCAUCCAGCAGCACGCCCAAGUCCACGGUCCAGCCUGAAGAGGUGUAGCCCUGGUGCAGUUGGCGCGUCCAACUGGCUUUGGAGGGAGGUGUACACGGAAAUCCAUCCACGCUCCAGCAUCACCACGGCCCAACAUGUUUCUUCAUUUUCUAGCAGCUCCCAUCCAGCAGCACGCCCAAGUCCACGGUCCAGCCUGAAGAGGUGUAGCCCUGGUGCACUUGGCUCGUCCAACUGGCUUUGGAGGGAGGUGAACACGGAGAUUAGAAGUUCAUGGUCCAGCCCAUACGCAUCCACAGGCAGCAGACAGGCCAUCACUUGAGUCUGGGUCCAGCGGGCACAGAAAAGAGAAGGGAAGAGCGGGAGAAAGAAAAGCACGCAUAGGGGGGCAUCCCGCCGCCACCUAGAGUUUUUUUGGUUUUCUUUGCUUUGAAGAGGGGAGCAGCACGUUGAGAGAAUGGAGGGUUACGGUUGAGCUGGAAGAGUUGAGCUGACACAUGGAGAAAGGGACGUGAAAGAAGGGAAGU